UUCUGAUCUGGAAACCCGGGCCUAAGAUAAGUUGAAACUCCCUUUCUUCUUCAUCACUAAGCAAAGUCAGAGAUCCCAGAUCGUCUACCUGUUCUAUUUUUCACCAAAUCAAACAGUGACCUUUUCAAAACCCUAUAUCUCUGCAUUAUGAGCUCUCAAUCCAUUCUCGGAGGCGCGAGCUUGUUUACAGGAUUCACGAGGCUAUGCAAAGGCCUCGCGGUGGUUCUCGUCGCUGGUCACAUUGUUGUUCAGAUUUUCCCCUCCGCUAUUAACUAUCUUGCUCUUAUUCCUGCCAGGACGAUUCCUUUUGCAUGGAACCUCUUAACAGCUGGUUACAUCGAACAAUCGAUAUAUGGAGUGGUUGCAAGCACUUUAUGCCUCCUCAUCAUGGGAAAGCUUCUUGAGCCAGUAUGGGGUUCUAAAGAGUUCUUAAAGUUCAUUUUCAUAGUCAACUUUCUUAUCUCUGUCUGUGUUUUCAUAACCGCUAUUAGCCUGUACUACAUAACAAGGCAGGAAAAUUACCUUUACAUGCCCAUUUCUGGCUUCCAAGGAAUCCUGGCAGGUUUCUUGGUUGGUACCAAGCAAAUUAUACCUGACCAAGAGCUGUCUCUAUUGAGAUUAAAGGCAAAGUGGUUUCCGUCUCUUAUGCUCUUGAUAGCUAUUGUUAUAAGCUUCUUUACUGCAGAGUCAGCAAAAUAUCUUCCAACCAUAAUAUUUGGCACUUAUAUGAGCUGGAUUUACUUGAGAUACUUUCAUAGGAAACCAGAAACAAAACUAAGGGGUGAUCCAAGUGAUGAUUUUGCAUUCUCAUCCUUCUUCCCUGACUUCCUCAGGCCAGUCAUUGAUCCUAUUGCAUCAAUAUUCCAUCGGAUGCUUUGUGGUAGAUUCGAAACUUCUACUGAAGCCCACGGUUACACCUUGGGAGGUGCUCCAUUGCCUGGUUCUGAUCCCAUCGAGGCAUCUAGGAGGAGAGAAAGAGGAGCUAGAGCACUGGAAGAGAGAUUGGCAGCUGAGAGGUUGGCCACUGCACGGAGUGCUGAAGAUUUGAAAAAGGAUGUCUCAGAGAAUGUUUGAUUGCCCGACUUCACUUUCAAACAUAAAACAACAAAUGCGAAAUUGUAUCUUUUAUGACCAUUUCAGAGUUUGUGCAGUACUCGGAAAGAAGUCUUUUUGAGCAGAAAUUCUGAAGAACUAUCCCUGGGAUGGCUUUGCAGAAAUAGAUGGAGAUUUUUUAUCUGCCAACGGAGGUUGCUUUCCCAGAAAGAUGCGUAACCAUCAAGAUUUUGUCGGUGGAUGGGCUUUUGUUUCCAGCUAGGACCCAUUUUUUAUCACAGGAGUUGCAACUUUAUGCCACUGUUCAUUAUUGGAUCCCAAUUUAAGAUUGGUAGGCUGCUUCGAAAAAUAAGGUUUGACACGAGCAUUCUUUUGAAUUCGCUGGGAUGGACACGAUGAUGGAAUUGGUUGGGAAGAUCCGAAUCUCAAGAUGGCCUGUCAUUUUCAGUUGCUUCCAAUUUAAUUGCGAACACCAAAUCUUAGGAACUGUAGGUUGCAUUUGCCAAACUUUCUGUUAAAAGCUUGCCCCGGUCCUCGAUUCGCUGCCCCGUUCCCUCACAUGGGAAAGAAAUUGCGUGCCCGAAACCAGUAAGAAUAAAGAAAUUGCAAGAUGAUAAAUUGGUUUGAGAGCGUGGAGAUACGUCGACCAGAGGAAGAAACUUGCUGAAAUAAGAAAAGUAUUGGUGGAUAGAGAAAGGAAUCGUGUCGUUUUCAAGUUUAAUCCUUGCGUACAGUAACCCCCAUUGCUUCAGGCUUCCUUCUUUUUUCUUUCUGCGUUUAUGUUUCUAAUUAAAUUAAUCUUACCUCCUCGAAAAACGAAAGCCUCCACGUUUGACAAUACCACGUUGAUUGUGGCUUGUCUCACGAGGACUCUCCUGUUUUUAACUU